rnacentral:rRNA from 1 species
UGGGGAAUCUUGGACAAUGGGCGCAAGCCUGAUCCAGCCAUGCCGCGUGAGUGAAGAAGGCCUUCGGGUUGUAAAGCUCUUUUACCAGGGACGAUAAUGACGGUACCUGGAGAAUAAGCCCCGGCAAACUUCGUGCCAGCAGCCGCGGUAAUACGAAGGGGGCUAGCGUUGUUCGGAAUUACUGGGCGUAAAGCGCACGUAGGCGGAUUGUUAAGUCAGAGGUGAAAUCCCGGAGCUCAACUUCGGAACUGCCUUUGAUACUGGCAAUCUAGAGUCCGGAAGAGGUUAGUGGAAUUCCCAGUGUAGAGGUGAAAUUCGUAGAUAUUGGGAAGAACACCAGUGGCGAAGGCGGCUAACUGGUCCGGUACUGACGCUGAGGUGCGAAAGCGUGGGGAGCAAACGGGAUUAGAUACCCCCGUAGUCCCUGAGCGGGCUGGCAAGGCGCAU